rnacentral:rRNA from 1 species
CCCGCCGCGGUAAAACGUAGGUGGCAAGCGUUGUCCGGAAUUAUUGGGCGUAAAGGGCUCGCAGGCGGUUUCUUAAGUCUGAUGUGAAAGCCCCCGGCUCAACCGGGGAGGGUCAUUGGAAACUGGGAAACUUGAGUGCAGAAGAGGAGAGUGGAAUUCCACGUGUAGCGGUGAAAUGCGUAGAGAUUAGGAGGAACACCAGUGGCGAAGGCGGUUCUCUGGUCUGUAACUGACGCUGAGGCUCGAAAGCGUGGGGAGCGAACAGGAUUAGAUACCCGUGUAGUCCCUGUCUCUUAUACAC